AGAUAAAUCGUUUUACUUGGGGAUUCCUGGGAGGCAUGCUAACCUUCUAUUGAAGACACAUGACUGUAGUAAAAUAUUUUAAGGACAGCUGAAAUGGGUUUCAGAAGAGUAAAGGGAAGAGAAGCCUGGAGACAAGAAAAGGAUGGCGGCCACAGAGUCCACAUGUGCAGGCAAUUCACACAAUCCCAGUUACUCCUCCUCUGCAGAACCCCUAACUGGGCUACUGCAAGUAUGUUUCCAGGUCCUUUUGAGAGACGAAGCUGUUUUGAAAGUAUGUGGUGGUUUGUCAAGAUACCAGGACACCAAGACAGCCAUUCAAUGAAGGGAUCUUCAAGGUCAGUCUUGCUCAAUUUAUACAGCUGGGAUGAUGACUUGCAUCUCAUGGCAUGAACGGCCUGUGGUGGUAUUGCAGGAAGAACGGUUCUCAGAACUCCUGUUUCUGGAACUAUCUGCAGGACCUGUUAGCAUGCCAGGCCCAGGUUCAGAUGCUGGAGUGUGUUUGGACUGAAGCUUACUUCCCUCUGUGAGGUCCCUCUGUGAGCGAGGGCCCAUUUGAAUGGCAGAUAAUCUGAAGCUUAUUGCCUGAAGAUUCCUGCAAAAUCCCAUGUAUGCAGAACAGCACUCCUUCUGGGCAUUGAAAGAUGGGAGAGGUAGCAAGUUGGUGUCAUCAAUGGAGAGAUUCUUGCUUCUCUUGCAUUGUCUGGGAACCUUCUAUGCAGACCUGCUUCCCAGCCAAGGGACACUUAGAUUUUUAUCUUGACUGGAAGUCCGGGGGCAGCUUGGCCAUGAAGGUUGGUACAACUUCAGAAGAAUCCCUCAACAGAUUGCCAUUCCUUGUCCAUCAAAAGCCUCCUCAGAGAACACAGGGCAUUCUCAGCUACCCAAGAUUUAAAUAAUCAACAUCAACCAGGUCUGCAGAAAGAUUGUGCUGGGAGGCAGCAUGGUCUAUUUACAAAUUUUACAGUUGAUACACACAGCAGUGCUAUCAGAUUACCCUGUGUGCUUCUGCUGUCUCCUUUAGAAAAGGAAAAUUAAUCGGCCUUUCUCUUGGGUUUAUUAUAAUAAUGGGUGGAAACACUGCCCACCGAAUUCUUAAGUCGGGAAUGUCAGAAAACAGAGCUGUGGCUGGCAUGCAGAGCGUCCUUAUGCUAUUAGAAAAAGCUGUCCACCUGUGAGUACACAAGGUUAGAAUUUGCCUCUUUUUCUGGGGUGGGUCAGGUUGGUUCCUAGGCUGAUGUCUUUUGGAAGCAGAGUACCCUGCUCAGCAAGCUCCCUUUGGGCUAGGCAUUAUCGAGAAAGCUGAGCCUGAGGUUCAGUAGAUACACGUUAGCUCCAGCAAUGAGCCUGGGAAAGACACUGAUGAUAAGACCCCCACCCCGAAUCCUGCACCUCUUCCACACACUCACUGGGAUUCUACCUAUCUACAGGCCCAGACAGAAUAGCACCCUCCAACCAGGGGGUGGGAGUGACUCAGUACCGUGGUGCAAUGCUCAGCAAAUGCUCCUCUUGAUAAACAGUGAGAACAGAGAACAAAAGCAGAAAGUCAAGUGGAGUUUUCUUUUCUGAGCUUCUUACCAGCUGAUCCCACUUCCUGUUCCUCUAAGGGCUUCCCUGACAGGCAGCUCGCUUCAUAUUUGGUCAUUGCCCUCUCACCUUCCUGGGUGAGUCAGUGCAGCUGACCUUGUACCCUUCAAGCUCCAGGGCUCCAGGGUGUACUCUGCCCAUUUCCUGA